GUGAGGAAUUUUCCGCAAUGGGCGAAAGCCUGACGGAGCAAUGCCGCGUGAAGGAUGAAGGCCUAUGGGUUGUAAACUUCUUUUCUCAGAAAAGAAUUAUGACGGUAUCUGAGGAAUAAGCAUCGGCUAACUCUGUGCCAGCAGCCGCGGUAAGACAGAGGAUGCAAGCGUUAUCCGGAAUGAUUGGGCGUAAAGCGUCUGUAGGUUGUUUAAAAAGUAUUCUGUCAAAGAUUAGGGCUUAACCCUAGAUAGGCAGAAUAAACUUUUAAGCUAGAGUUUGGUAGAGGCAGAGGGAAUUCCCGGUGGAACGGUGAAAUGCGUAGAUAUCGGGAGGAACACCAAAGGCGAAGGCACUCUGCUGGGCCAAUACUAACACUGAGAGACGAAAGCGAGGGGAGCAAAUGGGAUUAGAUACCCGGGUAGUCC
rnacentral:rRNA from 1 species